GAUGAACGCUGGCGGCGUGCCUAAUACAUGCAAGUCGAGCGAACGGACGAGAAGCUUGCUUCUCUGAUGUUAGCGGCGGACGGGUGAGUAACACGUGGAUAACCUACCUAUAAGACUGGGAUAACUUCGGGAAACCGGAGCUAAUACCGGAUGAUAUUUUGAACCGCAUGGUUCAAAAGUGAAAGACGGUCUUGCCGUCACUUAUAGAUGGAUUCGCGCUGCAUUAGCUAGUUGGUAAGGUAACGGCUUACCAAGGCAACGAUGCAUAGCCGACCUGAGAGGGUGAUCGGCCACACUGGAACUGAGACACGGUCCAGACUCCUACGGGAGGCAGCAGUGGGGAAUCUUCCACAAUGGGCGAAAGCCUGACGGAGCAACGCCGCGUGAGUGAUGAAGGUCUUCGGAUCGUAAAACUCUGUUAUUAGGAAAGAACAUAUGUGUAAGUAACUGUGCACAUCUUGACGGUACCUAAUCAGAAAGCCACGGCUAACUACGUG
rnacentral:rRNA from 1 species